rnacentral:rRNA from 1 species
GACGAACGCUGGCGGCGUGCUUAACACAUGCAAGUCGAACGGAAAGGCCCUGCUUUUGUGGGGUGCUCGAGUGGCGAACGGGUGAGUAACACGUGAGUAACCUGCCCUUGACUUUGGGAUAACUUCAGGAAACUGGGGCUAAUACCGGAUAGGAGCUCCUGCUGCAUGGUGGGGGUUGGAAAGUUUCGGCGGUUGGGGAUGGACUCGCGGCUUAUCAGCUUGUUGGUGGGGUAGUGGCUUACCAAGGCUUUGACGGGUAGCCGGCCUGAGAGGGUGACCGGCCACAUUGGGACUGAGAUACGGCCCAGACUCCUACGGGAGGCAGCAGUGGGGAAUAAUGCACAAUGGGCGGAAGCCUGAUGCAGCAACGCCGCGUGCGGGAUGACGGCCUUCGGGGUGUAAACCGCUUUCGCCUGUGACGAAGCGUGAGUGACGGUAAUGGGUAAAGAAGCACCGGCUAACUACGUG